CCGGAUAGUGUAGUGUGAAAGAGAAAGCAGGAAAAGUAAAAUAAAAGAUAGAAAGCGAAAUUACAAUGGUCAAUAUCUUUUUAUUGGAGAAAUAUGUAGGUAGACGAAACAACGUACGUACGUGGAAAUGCGAAGAGUUCGUUAAAUUAUGAGAAGAACACGCAAAGUCUUUACACUUUUGGCAGCUCCUCCGACGUGAUCAAGCCGCAAAAGUAUUUUACGUUACUUUUUUUUCUUCUUUCUGAAAUCUUACUUUAAAAGAAAAUUUGUUAACGAAAUAAAAGUAAUGUGGAUAAAAGUAAUAUAUCACAAAGACGGUUUAAUUAGACUGUUAGUGAAAUUAUUUUACUAAUGAAUAUUAAUCCUGAAAAUGUUCUUGUAUCUGAUCCACAUCAUAUCACAUGAAAGAAAGAUAGAGUUGAAUUCCUCAUACCUAAGGGCUAAGGUGGUAGCAGCCAAAUGGCUUAAGCCACUUGCUUUAUAUAGGUUCUUAUAACAAUAUUGGGGAUUCAAAUUGGUAACUUAAGAAAACGCCGAAUGUUAAUAAUGGUCACUGCUCACGUUGGCUAUGCUGCCUAUGCACAAGAUC
rnacentral:lncRNA from 1 species